rnacentral:lncRNA from 10 species
CUGGGAUUACAGCCGUGAGCCACUGUGCUCAACAACACACUUCUUUUAAAGACAGGGUCUCACUCUGUCACCCAGCCUGGAGUGCAGUACUGCAAUCAUAGCUCACUUCAGCCUUGACCUCCCAGGCUCAAGCAAUCCUCCCACCUCAGCCCCAUGAGUGGUUGGAACCACAGGUGUGUGCCACCACACCUGCUAAUUUUUGUAUUUUUUGAAGACACGAGGUCUCGACAUGUUGCCCAGGCUGGUCUUGAACUCCUGGGCUCAAGCAAUCCACCAACCUCGGCCUUCCAAAGUGCUGGGACUACAGGUGUGAGCCAUGGUAACUGGCCUGAAUAUUAAGUGCUAUUAGGGAAUUAAAUUUGCUUUUCUCAGGUAUAAUAGUAUUGUGAAUAUGCAGAUGAACAUCCUUAUUUUUUGGAGAUGCAUACUCAAAUACAAAGGGAUAAAAUGUCAUAAUCUCUUUAAUAUACUUUGAAAUGAUCCUACCAAAUAUAAGUACAUACAGAUGCUAAUAUCAUUGUUUUUGCCAAUUUUCUUUUUUCUUCCUUUUAGAUACAGGGUCUUGGUCUGUCGCACAGGCCGGAGAGCAGUGAGUGGAACAAUCAUGGCUCUGUAGCCUCGACCUUCUGGGCUCAAGUGAUCCUUCCAUCUCAGCCUCCCAAGUAGCUGGGACUACAGGUGCUUGGGAGUACACCUAAUUUUUUAAUUUUGUAGAGAAGUGGUCUCCGCCCAGGCUGGCCUCAAACUCCUGCACUCCAGCAAUCCUCCUGCCUUGACCUCCCAAAGUACUGGGAUUACAGACAUUAGCCACCACGCCCAACCAAAACUUUUAAAAGUUUUUUUUUUGUUUUAUAACAGUUCCUCUGCCUCUUUUAGAGGCAAUCAACCCAGUGUGGAGCACAGGUAUUCCCUGGGUGGCACUAGGAGAUGGGACUUGCUCCCUGUUUCAAGGUGGUACCAGCUAAUGCUGCAAGGCCCUUUGAAGAAGGCUCCCCCUUCCCAGUUUAUUAUCUGCCAUCAGUAAAUAACUGGGGAUUAUCAGCUGACACCUUUAUCUUCACUACAUUCUUUAGAAUUUAAGACAGGCAACAGCCAGCCUAGAAUGUGACCCACUUCCACCUGAGGUUCACCUGACUGGAGGCAAUAAAGUUUAACAUUUCAAGAGUCAGCAGGUACUUUAACCCUUAGGAUAAUUUGUUUCUUUAUAUAGUCUUUGGAAAAUAACACAAGAAUUAAAAAAAAAAAAAAAAAAAACAGCCAGGCUUGGUGGCUCAGGAGGCAGAGGCUGCAGUGAGCCAAGAUGGCUCCAGUGCACUACAGCCUGGACAACACAGUGAGACCCUGUCCACCCCACUCCCCCCCAAAAAAAGUCAUGGGAAAGUAGAAUGCUAAUGAAAAGAAAGUACUACAAUCAACAAACUAACAGAUGGGCCUGAGAUGCUAAAAACCAGGUACCCCUGUACGCCAUUGGGCAGCAGAGCUCAUGAUGGCUCUGUGGCUGUUCUGGCUGCAGGUAACAAAUCCAUGUAACAAACAAAGUAGGCUGGGUUAUUUCUGGGCUCUAGAAUUUCCUCACAACCCAAAAGAUGCAAAUUUCAUCCAUGAGUUCUGUUGGUGCAGGUUUGGGUGUACCCCACAAAGCCUGCGGCUGUGACUCUGGCCAAUGGGUAGAAAUUUUACUCCUCGAACACUGACAAAAGAGCUCCAAGCAGCUCCUGGGUUUCUGUAGCAUGGCUGAAGCAGAGUGGAAAUGGGGUUUCACCAUGUUGGCCAGGCUGGUCCCCAACCCCUAACCUCAGGUGUAGAAGAUGAGGUCAGAAAGUUGACAGAGCUAGACUGGGAGGACCUUGUUGGGUGGCCCUUGUAAGAUGGAGACUUUUACUCUGAGUGAAAUGGCAGCUGUUACAGGAUCUUCAGAAGAGGGGAGACAUGACCUGACUCCUGAUUUGGAAGGAACCUUCUGGCUGCUGUGUGGAGAGAGCCUGUAACGGGCAAAAGUGGAAGCCAGGAGACCAGGUAGGAGACAGUUGCAGUUGUCUAGGUGAGAGCCAAUGGUGGCUCCCACCAGGAUGGAGCAGCAGUAAAGGUGUGAGACACAGAUCCUCGUGUCAUUUCUAAGAUACAGACAGUAUGAUUUGCUGACAAAUUAGAUGUAGCAUGUGAGAACAGGAGAGCAGUCAGGCAGAUUCCAAGGGUCUAGCCUAAGCAACUGGCAGGUAGAGGUGUCACCUGGAGGGCCAGCACACUGGCCAGUGGGUAAGGAUUCCAAGGAUUCUUGUCUCCCAUUUCUGUGGGGAGACAGGCUGAGGCCAAGCCUUAGGAGGCUCACUGCCUACAGUAGCUGAAGUAGCAGGCUAGCCGCUAUUAGAGUAACUGCAAGCUGGGGAGUUCAGCCUGGGAGGAUGGGAAGGAGGACUGUUUAUUACUGAAGUUGCUCCACUCCUGGUAUGGAAAUGGGGCCUAAAGAAAUGAGGAAAAUAGGCCGGCGGUGGCUCACGCCUGUAAUCCCAGCACUUUGG